AAAGUAUCGGUAGGGGAGCAUACUCACAGCGUCGAAUGGUGUACGUAAGUUAUCCUGGAGCGGUGAGUAAAGCAAAUGUAGGAAUAAGUAACGAUAAGGAGGGUUAGAUUCCCUCCCGCUGUAAGACCAAGGUUUCCCGGGCAAUGCCAAUCAGCCCGGGGUCAGUCGGGUCCUAAGUCUAAGCCGAACGGCGAUGGCGAUGGCAGAGACGGUUAAUAUUCCGUCACUGCCGCAUGGGGCGACGUGGAGACGGAGCAGUGAAACCACCGCGGGGCGACGGAAGUCCCCGUUGAAGGGUGUAGGUGUUGAGGAUGGCAGGCAAAUCCACCAUCCGAGCUGAACCUGACAGUACGGAGUCCUCCUCGGAGGAAUCUGAUAGUGUGGGUAAUCAUACUCCCGAGAAAAUCCGCUAAGCUUAACCCAUGCGGCACCCGUACCGCAAACGGACACACGUGGUCGGGUAGAACAUACUAAGGCGUUGAGAGAUUCAUGGUUAAGGAACUAGGCAAAUUGACCCUGUAACUUCGGGAUAAAGGGUCCUCGUGAUGAGCGAGGCGCAGAGAAUAGGUCCAGGCAACUGUUUAACAAAAACACAGGGCUGUGCAAACUCGAAAGAUGACGUAUACAGCCUGACACCUGCCCGGUGCCGGAAGGUUAAGAGGAGAUGUCACU
rnacentral:rRNA from 1 species